rnacentral:lncRNA from 1 species
CUAAAACCGUUUUUUUUCUAAAGGAAACAUAGGAUAAUGGAGUGUGGUGGUUCAUGCCUAUAAUCUCAGUUGCUCAGGAGACUGAAGUAGAAGAGUAAUUAGUUCAAGGCCAGCCUGGGCCACAGAGUGAGACCCUAUAUCACAAUAAAUAAAUAAAUAAAUAAAUGACAACAAAAAAUAUGACAUACACAAUUCAAAUAUGUAUAAAGUACAUGCAUAAUUUAAUAUUUAAUAACACAACUUUUAUUGAUAAUAAGAAUAAUUAGGGGCCUAAUUAAUGAAUUACUGAUAUUUCAAAUUUGCAGUUUUGUCAUUAUGUAUUUUUAAUUCUUUUUUUUUUUAACUUUAUUUUUGUAUAUGGUCCUGAGGAUUGAACCCAGUGCCUCACACGUGCUAUGCAAGCGCUCUACCACUGAGCCACAAUCUCAGCCCUGUUUUGACUCUUAUGUAAGUAUAAAUGAGAAGGAACAAAAUUUUAGGAGAGGUGAUGAGGACUAUUUCAGAAUUGGAUGGUUAACAUCUAUCACUUAGUAAGUGCUCACUAUGUGCUGUAAGUCAUAUGUCUUUAGAGUUUCAUUUCAACACUUUUGAAGGGCAAUAUCUUAUCCAUAUAAAUUGAAAUAUAUAUAUAUAUAUUUGGAAGGCUUAAUAACAGCCCUCAAGUUACACUUAAUUAAAUAUCAGCACACAUUUCAAAUCUAGUUGUAAAUUAUUUUAAUAACUGUGGCCUUAACCACUUUUCCAUGCUGCUUUUUGAUUUUAGGUUCAGAAUGAAGAAAAGAAUUGCUUGAACAGACAGUAUGCAUGAUCACAUGAUGUUGGUAACCCAGAAUAAAAGAAAACAAAUGAAACCAUAAAAACUGUGGAGUCACAGAAAUAUAAAGCUGAAAACAAAAUUUUGAGUUUAUACAAUCCAAAACUUCUAAGGAAACAGAGACUUAAAAUGGAAAAUAGCAAAAUGGUAUUACAGACAAAUCACACAAAAAAAGAGUAUUUGUCAUUUGCUUUUAUAAUCUAACUCUAUGAUGAGAAUAUAUGUUAUAAGAUCAAGCCUUUGAUGCAUUGGAAGAAAAGAGUAUAUCCAAGGAAAAAAAAAGUAUUGAGAGUCCUUAAGAAUUGAGGGUCUAGUCAAAAAGUUCUCCAUAGCUUUUCAAAGGAAAAAAAUACAUUUCACAUUAUAAUUAGGCAAAACUUAAUUUUAAAUUUAGAAAAAAUAAAAACUUGCUGAACAUAUUCAAAGCACCAGCAACUGUAUUUAGUAUUUCAAGAUUUAUUAUCUCCUUUAAAACUCACAAAAACAUUUAAGACUUUUAACAGGUACAGUUACACGUGAUUAAUGUUAAACCUUGCUAGCAAAUGCAUUCAUUAUAGAACUAUCCACCAAUUCCAUGUAUACAAUUAGAAAUUUUAAAAUUGACAUUAAGGUUACUUAAUGUCAGUAAACCUUUCUCCUUACACUUUGUUGAGGUGUGUUUGACAAAUCUUGAAAGUAUAUAACAUGAUGUCUAAUGUAUACACACAUUGCAAAAUGCUUAUCACAAGCAAGCUAAUUAGCACAUCUGUCAACUCACAGUUACCCCUUUGUGAGACCUCUUAAGAAUUUUAGCAAAUUUCAACUCCUAAUCCCUGGGAAACACAAUUCUACCUAUGUUUUUAUGAAUCUGACCUUUUUAGAUUCCACAUAUACAUGAGAUCAUACAGUAUUUGUUUUCUGUCUUAUUUCAUUUAGCAUAAUAUCCUGAAUAAUAUAGUGUGUGUGUGUAUGUGUGUGUGUGUGUAGUUUCCCCUAUCAACCCAUCAUUGACAGAUAAUUAGGUUGUUUCCAUAUCUUGGCUAUUGUGAAUAAUACUGAAAUAAACAUUGG